UCCUUAUAUUACUACUAAAGCAUAAGUCACAUGGCCAAUCAAAUCUUGUCACAUGGCUUGAGAUAAAAAAAAAAACGGGAUAAUGCAAAAAAAAAAAAAAAAAAACAUGAACCGUGAACGGUUUCUAGAAACAGCCACGACCCACGAUCUCUCUUCUUCUACUGGUAAAAGACCCACGAUCCUUCUUCUUCGUCCACGAUUCUCUCUUUCCCAUAUUCUUUUAUUUUAAAAAACAGCAGAAAAAUACUCAGUCAAUGAAAAACAGCAUAUGAAAGUUUUAUACUCCUUCUUCUUCGAUUUCAAAACCCUGAUUCAGAAUUGAGGCCGUAUCGAAUGUCAUGAGCCUGAGCUGAGUUCGAUUCAGGGGUAAACGGAUCUCAGCAACCUAUUUUUGCCAGUAACGCUCUCUGUCUCCCCUCUAUACAGUUUCGUCGUCUUCGGCCAUCAGAUUGCUUCAUCGAAACCGGUUAUGCGCAAGGAAGGUUUGAGAAAUAGUGGAUUUGGUACAUAAAUUGAAAACUGUAGAGAGGUUUGCAUUUUUUUCAUCUGUAAUUUUAAUGUUUUAGAUUUUUGGUAAGAAAAACUGGUUUAUGCACAGUUGCAGGGGCAAGUGGAACAUGAAAGGUUGAAGAUGCGGUGCUGCAAUUGGGAACGAUGAUUAAAUUGUAAGACAAAAUUAAGAGAGAUUGUUUGCAGAUAGAGACAUACUAAAAGAAUUACCGGAAAACAAAAACAGAAAAGUGUCAAACGUACAACCACGGAACCACCAGUCAAGAGAACAAGUCAAUAGGCAAUUGGCUUCAAACCAAUAUUUGUCUCAUACCAGUUUAGUUUUCAUAUGUUUAUGGUUAAUCCAUGGUGACUAUACUAAUGUUUUGUUAUGAAUUAUCAUUUCCUUCUUAUAACUCGAAUUUAUGUUUUAA